GUAUUUUUCCCAGUGGUGCAUAUAAUAAAAUUGUAACAAUGCAAAGAAGAUGAAUGUGGCUCCUGUGUAAGGAUGAAAAGCAAAGUUGUGAAAUGUUUCAUACUUUU
ensembl:snRNA U6 U6 spliceosomal RNA